AUUGAACGCUGGCGGCAUGCCUAACACAUGCAAGUCGAACGGCAGCACAGCAGUAGCAAUACUGUGGGUGGCGAGUGGCGGACGGGUGAGGAAUACAUAGGAAUCUGCCCAGUCGUGGGGGAUAACGUAGGGAAACUUACGCUAAUACCGCAUACGACGGUGACGUGAAAGUGGGGGACCGCAAGGCCUCACGCGAUUGGAUGAGCCUAUGUCCGAUUAGCUAGUUGGCGGGUAAGAGCCCACCAAGGCGACGAUCGGUAGCUGGUCUGAGAGGAUGAUCAGCCACACUGGAACUGAGACACGGUCCAGACUCCUACGGGAGGCUG
rnacentral:rRNA from 1 species